rnacentral:rRNA from 1 species
AUGCAGUCGAACGGCAGCGCGGGGCAACCUGGNGGCGAGUGGCGAACGGGUGAGUAAUAUAUCGGAACGUACCCUAGAGUGGGGGAUAACGUAGCGAAAGUUACGCUAAUACCGCAUACGAUCUAAGGAUGAAAGUGGGGGAUUCGCAAGANCCUCNUGCUCGUGGAGCGGCCGAUAUCUGAUUAGCUANUUGGUAGGGUAAAAGCCUACCANGGCAUCGAUCAGUANCUGGUCUGAGAGGACGACCANCCACNCUGGAACUGANACACGGUCCANACUCCUACGGGAGGCAGCAGUGGGGAAUUUUGGACANUGGGCGAAAGCCUGAUCCAGCANUGCCGCGUGAGUGAAGAAGGCCUUCGGGUUGUAAAGCUCUUUUGUCNGGGAAGAAACGGUGGUUUCUAAUACAGAUCACUANUGACGGUACCUGAAGAAUAAGCACCGGCUAACUACGUGCCAGCAGCCGCGGUAAUACGUAGGGUGCAAGCGUUAAUCNGAAUUACUGGGCGUAAAGCGUGCGCAGGCGGUUUUGUAAGUCNGACGUGAAAUCCCCGGGCUCAACCUGGGAAUUGCGUUGGAGACUGCAAGGCUAGAGUUUGGCAGAGGGGGGUAGAAUUCCACGUGUAGCAGUGAANUGCGUANAUAUGUGGAGGAACACCGAUGGCGAAGGCAGCCCCCUGGGUCAAGACUGACGCUCAUGCACGAAAGCGUGGGGAGCAAACNNGAUUANAUACCCUGGUANUCCACGCCCUAAACGAUGUCUACUAGUUGUCGGGUCUUAUUGACUU